CACCGCGGUUAUACGAGAGGCCCAAGUUGAUAAGUACUCGGCGUAAAGAGUGGUUAAGUUUAUAUUAAACUAAAGCCGAAUGCCCCUCAAAACUGUUAUACGUACUCGAGGUUAAGAAGUUCUAAUACGAAAGUAGCUUUAAUUUCCUGAACCCACGAAAGCUGUGAAA
rnacentral:rRNA from 1 species